rnacentral:rRNA from 1 species
GACGGGGCCCGCGACAAGCGGCGGAGCAUGCGGAUUAAUUCGAUGCAACGCGAAGAACCUUACCAAGGCUUGACAUACACCGGUAACGCCCAGAGAUGGGUGCCCCUUUGUGGUCGGUGUACAGGUGGUGCAUGGUUGUCGUCAGCUCGUGUCGUGAGAUGUUGGGUUAAGUCCCGCAACGAGCGCAACCCUCGUCCUAUGUUGCCAGCGGGUCAUGCCGGGGACUCAUGGGAGACUGCCGGGGUCAACUCGGAGGAAGGUGGGGAUGACGUCAAAUCAUCAUGCCCCUUAUGUCUUGGGCUUCACGCAUGCUACAAUGGCCGGUACAAAGGGCUGCGAUACCGCGAGGUGGAGCGAAUCCCAGAAAGCCGGUCUCAGUUCGGAUUGGGGUCUGCAACUCGACCCCAUGAAGUCGGAGUCGCUAGUAAUCGCAGAUCAGCAACGCUGCGGUGAAUACGUUCCCGGGCCUU